CCUACGGGUGGCAGCAGUGGGGAAUAUUGCACAAUGGGGGGAACCCUGAUGCAGCGACGCCGCGUGAGUGAAGAAGUAUUUCGGUACGUAAAGCUCUAUCAGCAGGGAAGAAAAAAGGACGGUACCUGACUAAGAAGCCCCGGCUAACUACGUGCCAGCAGCCGCGGUAAUACGUAGGGGGCAAGCGUUAUCCGGAUUUACUGGGUGUAAAGGGAGCGUAGACGGCAGCGCAAGUCCGAAGUGAAAGCCCGGGGCCCAACCCCGGGACUGCUUUGGAAACUGUGAAGCUGGAGUGCGGGAGGGGCAGGCGGAAUUCCUGGUGUAGCGGAGAAAUGCGUAGAUAUCAGGAGGAACACCGGCGGCGAAGGCGGCCUGCUGGACCGUAACUGACGUUGAGGCUCGAAAGCGUGGGGAGCAAACAGGAUUAGAUACCCGAGUAGUC
rnacentral:rRNA from 1 species